UAUUGUUUAGUGCCCAUC
rnacentral:siRNA from 1 species